UGAGGAAUAUUGGUCAAUGGGGGCAACCCUGAACCAGCCAAGUCGCGUGAAGGAUGAAGGUCUUAUGGAUUGUAAACUUCUUUUGCAGGGGAAUAAAGUGCAGGACGUGUCCUGUUUUGUAUGUACCCUGAGAAUAAGGAUCGGCUAACUCCGUGCCAGCAGCCGCGGUAAUACGGAGGAUCCGAGCGUUAUCCGGAUUUAUUGGGUUUAAAGGGUGCGUAGGUGGUUUGAUAAGUCAGCGGUGAAAGUUUGCAGCUUAACUGUAAAAAUGCCGUUGAAACUGUCGGACUUGAGUGUAAAUGAGGUAGGCGGAAUGCGUGGUGUAGCGGUGAAAUGCAUAGAUAUCACGCAGAACUCCUAUUGCGAAGGCAGCUUACUAAGCUACAACUGACACUGAAGCACGAAAGCGUGGGGAUCAAACA
rnacentral:rRNA from 1 species